rnacentral:rRNA from 1 species
UACGGAGGAUGCAAGCGUUAUCCGGAAUGAUUGGGCGUAAAGCGUCCGCAGGUGGCUGUGUAAGUCUGCUGUUAAAGAGUCUAGCUCAACUAGAUACAAGCAGUGGAAACUACACGGCUAGAGUACGUUCGGGGCAGAGGGAAUUCCUGGUGUAGCGGUGAAAUGCGUAGAGAUCAGGAAGAACACCGGUGGCGAAGGCGCUCUGCUAGACCGUAACUGACACUGAGGGACGAAAGCUAGGGGAGCGAAUGGG